CUGGCUUCUUUUCUAUGCCUUUAAGAAGGACCUCUCAGCCAGCUGAAGUCAAGGAGAUUCCAUGAUCUCACCCCUACUUAAAAGAAACUCAGAGCUCAUCUCCUGCAGGACCUGCCAAAUCUUCCAACAGAACAAAAGAACCAAGCCAAAACUCAGUUCAAACAAUAUGGUCAGAACACUAUAAGCUGUUUUGGAAUUCAUCACAAGGAAGAAAUACAGAAAUUAAUUCCCCUUUA